GGAAGUGCGCAGGGCACUGGUGGCCCUCCUGGACUUCAAAUCCAGUGGUACCGGUUAAAACCCGGUACGGUGGGUUCGAUUCCCAUGCACUUCCGCCA
rnacentral:tRNA from 1 species